rnacentral:rRNA from 1 species
CUGGGCGUAAAGCGCACGCAGGCGGUCAAUUAAGUCAGAUGUGAAAGCCCCGAGCUUAACUUGGGAAUUGCAUCUGAAACUGGUUGGCUAGAGUCUUGUAGAGGGGGGUAGAAUUCCAUGUGUAGCGGUGAAAUGCGUAGAGAUGUGGAGGAAUACCGGUGGCGAAGGCGGCCCCCUGGACAAAGACUGACGCUCAGGUGCGAAAGCGUGGGGAGCAAACAGGAUUAGAUACCCUGGUAGUCCACGCUGUAAACGAUGUCGAUUUAGAAGGUUGUGGUCCUUGAAC